AUUAUUUGUAAAUAGUAAAAAAUUUUUGCCAAAUAUGACAAAGGGUAAUUUUGGAAUCGAUUAUCCUUUAUUGUUCGGAUUACUUAAUUUUAUAAACUGAACCAAAUAUAUUAAUAAUAAGUGUAGAGCUACUAUGCUAUCGGAAGUAUAAGUGAAUUGGUGCUUUCGAUUUUUUAGCGCUUAGAUCAAAAAUUGUAUGGUUAAGAUGAUAGUAUUUCCUUUAGGAUUGAGUGGUCUCUCUAGGAUUAAGUGGUCCCCAUUGGGUAAUAAUAUUAAUCUAAUGGUUAACAAUGAUCAAAAGGUUGAUCCAAGGGCUAAAAAAUCAGAAGCAACAACUAUCUUAUGCUUCCGGUAGCAUAAUAGCUCUAAAGUAAUAAUAAUACUAUAUACUCUGUAAUCUGGUAUUAUAUUAUUAUAUUAAAUUAAAUACAAUAAUACAGCAUUAGCAGUAAUCUUAUUCAGAAAUUUAAAACAUCUGUCGAAAUAAACUGUAUGGG
rnacentral:lncRNA from 1 species